CUCCUUUGGCCCGGCCACGCCCGCGCCUUCCCCUCCCCCGCCUCCUUCCCCUCCCCUCCCUCGUGGCUCAGGCUGCCCGAGGCUGAGUCAUCGCCGCGGACGCUGCCCGGAGAGCUGGCGAGCAGGUGUUUUUGGAUUGACUGCUCAGUGCUAGGCACUGUGUUUGCUGCUGAGUGCUGGACAGAGAGGGGAACAAGGCUCAGCCCCUGCCCACAAGGAUCUCGCCAUGCACAACAAAUACACCAUCUGACCAGCUGUCCCACCUGCGGCCUGUGAGCAGCUGCAAGUUUACAGCUUUGACAUCCACUUGAAAGAACGCCAUGCCUGCUUCCACAGAUUUUAAGUUUACAGUUCAAUGAGUUUUGACAAACAUAAACCCCUAUGAAUUACAAGAUUUUGAUACACAGUCAGCUAAUUUAGAGAAAUUGCAAGAGUCCACAGAACUGUUGGAAAGAGUAUGGAGUUUGGAGUCAAGAGACCUGGUUACCAAGUCAAGCCUCACAUUAACCAGCUGUGUGACUUUGGGCCCGUGCCCUCGCCUCUCUAGGCCUUGGUUUCUGAUCUGUACAGUGAAGAGGCUGUCUCUGGGUCCACAUGGCAUAACAGGUAUUGAACAAAGGUCACACAAGAUUCCUGACAUUAUGCAGAGCUACUGUGUCCUGCUGAUAUUUGCAAAAGUGAAUGCGCAUCACCUGGAUCCCGCCAAUCAAAUUGCUGAAGAAGAGAAACUGAAGAAACAAUAAUUAUAACAAUAAACAAAGAUGGCAGAAAUCAGCCAAACCAAGCCCUACAUCUUGUAAGAAUGUACCAAAUGCUUGUA